GGUAUAGUAGCUUAACGGUUAAGGCGUGAAUUUGCAAAAUUCAAAAUAUCGGUUCAAUUCCGAUCUAUACU
rnacentral:tRNA from 1 species